rnacentral:misc_RNA from 1 species
UACUCAGUACCACACCGCAAG